rnacentral:rRNA from 1 species
GNUAAACAGCUAGCUUAACCACUUAAAUAACCAACACAGCAUUAAAUAACUUAACACAGACCCCAACCCACCAAACCAAAACAUUUUACCGCCUUAGUAUGGGAGACAGAAAAGGCACACCUYAAAGCAAUAACAAAAGUACCGCAAGGGAACGCUGAAAGAGAAAUGAAAUAAAUCAUUAAAGCACAACAAAGCAGAGAUUAACCCUCGUACCUUUUGCAUCAUGAUUUAGCUAGUAUUAUUGAGCAAAGAGUACUUUAGUUCAAACCCCCGAAACUAAGUGAGCUACCCCGGGACAGCCUAUUAAUUAGGGCCAACCCGUCUCUGUGGCAAAAGAGUGGGAAGAUCCCCGGGUAGAGGUGACAGACCUACCGAACUUAGUUAUAGCUGGUUGCCUAAGAAAUGAAUAGAAGUUCAGCCCGCACCCCUCAACUCACAAACACUUUAAAACCAUGAGUCAGAGUAACAUGCGAGAGUUAGUCAAAGGAGGUACAGCUCCCUUGAACCAGGACACAACCUUACCAGGAGGUUAAAGAUUAUAUUAAUCAAGAUAUACCGCUUCAGUGGGCCUAAAAGCAGCCACCCAAAUAGAAAGCGUUAAAGCUCAAGCGGAACAAAAAUCUAUUAUUCAAAUAUUUAAUCUUAAACCCCUAACCAUACUAGGCCGCCCUAUGCACGCAUAGGAGAGAUGCUGCUAAAAUGAGUAAUAAGAAGGGAACCCCCUUCUCCCAGCCUACGUGUACGCUAGAUCGAACCCCCACUAGCAAUUAUCGAACCCAACAAAAGAGGGUAAUGUGUUUACAUUAAACGCCAAGAAAACCACACAAGACCCAAUCGUUAACCCCACACCGGAAGGCCCAAAAUGAGGAAAGACUAAAAGAAAAGGAAGGAACUYGGCAAACACAAGCCUCGCCUGUUUACCAAAAACAUCGCCUCCUGCAAAAAUCAAUGUAUAGGAGGUCCUACCUGCCCAGUGACAAGUUUAACGGCCGCGGUAUUUUGACCGUGCAAAGGUAGCGCAAUCACUUGUCUUUUAAAUGAAGACCUGUAUGAAUGGUGGAACGAGGGCUUAACUGUCUCCCCUUUCAAGUCAAUGAAAUUGAUCUGCCCGUGCAGA